GAAGUGAAGAUGGAAUGAGAAGAACAGAGAAACAAUGACAGAGUCCUUACAAACACCAUCAUAUAAGAAAGCAAUGGGGAUAUGUCAUCCUAAAAGAAUCCUAAAAUAAGUGAUCAAAAAGGUGGACAGAAAACCAAGUGGGAGUACUGUCACUGAGGAUGAGUUUCCAGAGAGAAUUAAUGCUGAAGAGGCUAUUACAGAUACUGCUGAGUAUGAAGAACUAAUUGGAGAAGGAAACCAUUGUAUAGGAGAUGAAGAGCAGCAGCAAAAAUGGUAAUGAAAAUAGAAGAUAAAUUAGAAAAUUUGGAAAAACCCAAACAGAUCAGCCAUAUUGAAGGGAAAAAGAAAAACAAAACAAAGCGGGAGAGGGCAGAAAUGUAGAAUGGUGUACAUUCUUUUAACCCCAAGAAUGAAUGUAGCCAAGAACACAGUGGGGACUUAAGAGUCUCAGCAGAGAGCAUUCUCUGCUCCCUACUGCUCGGACAAAGGACUCCUUCAUGAUGCAGAACCAUAACUGGUGUAGAGUCUUAAAUGACCUGGGUAUCUCUACAUGGGAGAAAGUGUUUUCCAUGUAAAAGGAUUAACUUGAACCUGGGUGCUCAAGGGACAUCCUAGGCUGCUUGUUCCACUGAUUCCACUUACUGUGUCAAGUAAUAAAUCAUGUGGUUGCAUAUUCACAUUA